GUGCCAGCCGCCGCGGUAAUACCGGCAGCCCGAGUGAUGGCCGAUCUUAUUGGGCCUAAAGCGUCCGUAGCUGGCCGCGCAAGUCCAUCGGGAAAUCCACCUGCUCAACAGGUGGGCGCCCGGUGGAAACUGUGCGGCUUGGGACCGGAAGGCUCAGAGAGUACGUCCGGGGUAGGAGUGAAAUCCCGUAAUCCUGGACGGACCGCCGAUGGCGAAAGCACGUCGCGAGAACGGAUCCGACAGUGAGGGACGAAAGCUAGGGUCUCGAACCGGAUUAGAAACCCCGGUAGUCC
rnacentral:rRNA from 1 species